GAUGAACGCUGGCGGCGUGCCUAAUACAUGCAAGUCGAGCGAACGGACGAGGAGCUUGCUCCUCUGAUGUUAGCGGCGGACGGGUGAGUAACACGUGGAUAACCUACCUAUAAGACUGGGAUAACUUCGGGAAACCGGAGCUAAUACCGGAUAAUAUUUUGAACCGCAUGGUUCAAUAGUGAAAGACGGUCUUGCUGUCACUUAUAGAUGGAUCCGCGCUGCAUUAGCUAGUUGGUAAGGUAACGGCUUACCAAGGCAACGAUGCAUAGCCGACCUGAGAGGGUGAUCGGCCACACUGGAACUGAGACACGGUCCAGACUCCUACGGGAGGCAGCAGUAGGGAAUCUUCCGCAAUGGGCGAAAGCCUGACGGAGCAACGUCGCGUGAGUGAUGAAGGUCUUCGGAUCGUAAAACUCUGUUAUUAGGGAAGAACAAAUGUGUAAGUAACUGUGCACAUCUUGACGGUACCUAAUCAGAAAGCCACGGCUAACUACGUG
rnacentral:rRNA from 1 species